rnacentral:rRNA from 1 species
CGCGGGAUUGGGGUGCAGCAGGCGCGAAAACUUUGCAAUACACGAAAGUGUGACAGGGCUAUCCCGAGUGCCAUCCGCUGAGGAAGGCUUUUACCCAGUGUAGAAAGCUGGGAGAAUAAGGAGAGGGCAAGACUGGUGUCAGCCGCCGCGGUAAUACCAGCUCUCCGAGUGGUGUGGAUGUUUAUUGGGCCUAAAGCAUCCGUAGCUGGCCAAGUUAGUCCCCUGUUAAAUCCACCGAAUUAAUCGUUGUAGUGCGGGGGAUACUGCUCGGCUAGGGGACGAGAGAGGCCGACGGUAUUUCCGGGGUAGGGGUGAAAUCCUAUAAUCCCGGGAAGACCACCAGUGGCGAAGGCUGUCGGCUAGAACGCGCCCGACGGUGAGGGAUGAAAGCUGGGGGAGCGAACCGGAUUAGAUACCCGGGUAGUCCCAGCUGUAAACGAUGCNAGGCUAGGUGUUUGGGCGGCCACGGGCCGCUCUAGUGCCGCAGGGAAGCCGUUAAGCCUGCCGCCUGGGGAGUACGGCCGCAAGGCUGAAACUUAAAGGAAUUGCGGGGGGAGCACCACAAGGGGUGAAGCUUGCGGUUAAUGGGAGUCAACGCCGGAAAUCUCACCGGGAGCGACAGCAGGUUGAAGGCCAGAUUAAAGGUCUUGCUAGACGAGCUGAGAGGAGGUGCAUGGCCGUCGCCAGUUCGUGCCGUGAGGUGUCCUGUUAAGUCAGGCAACGAUCGAGACCCGCGUCCUCUGUUGCUACUGGUCUUGUGCCAGGCACACUGAGGAGACCGCCGCUGAUAAAGCGGAGGAAGGAGCGGGCCACGGCAGGUCAGUAUGCCCCGAAUCUCCCGGGCCACACGCGAGCUGCAAUGGCAGGUACAAUGGGUUCCGACCUCGAAAGGGAGAGGCAAUCCCGAAAGCCUGCCGUAGUUGGGAUCGAGGGUUGAAACCCACCUUCGUGAACAUGGAAUCCCUAGUAAUCGCGUGUCACUAGCGCGCGGUGAAUACGUCCCUGCUCCUUGCACGAAUUCGCCGAAUCACUAGU